AAUUCGAUGCAACGCGAAAACCUUACCACCUUUGACAUGUACGGAAUCCUUUAGAGAUAGAGGAGUGCUCGAAAGAGAGCCGUAACACAGGUGCUGCAUGGCUGUUCGUCAGCUCGUGUCGUGAGAUGUUGGGUUAAGUCCCGCAACGAGCGCAACCCUUGUCAUUAGUUGCUACAUUCAGUUGGGCACUCUAAUGAGACUGCCGGUGACAAACCGGAGGAAGGUGGGGAUGACGUCAAGUCCUCAUGGCCCUUAUAGGUGGGGCUACACACGUCAUACAAUGGAUGGUACAAAGGGUCGCCAACCCGCGAGGGGGAGCCAAUCCCAUAAAGCCAUUCGUAGUCCGGAUCGCAGUCUGCAACUCGACUGCGUGAAGUCGGAAUCGCUAGUAAUCGUGGAUCAGAAUGUCACGGUGAAUACGUUCCCGGGUCUU
rnacentral:rRNA from 1 species